rnacentral:misc_RNA from 1 species
GAAAUGCGAUAAGUAAUGUGAAUUGCAGAAUUCAGUGAAUCAUCGAAUCUUGAACGCACAUUGCGCCCGCCAGCACUCUGGCGGGCAUGCCUGUUCGAGCGUCAUUUCAACCCUCAGAACCCCUUGCGGGAUCUGGCGUUGGGGAUUGGCAUCCAGCCAGCCCCGAAAUCUAGUGGCGGUCCCUCCGCGACCUCCCCUGUGCAGUAGCGAUACCUCGCAGCGGGACAGCGGUCUGACCACGCCGUAAAACCCCCAACUUCUCAAGGUUGACCUCGAAUCAGGUAGGAAUACCCGCUGAACUUCAGC